CACGCAGGCGGUCGGAUAAGUCAGAUGUGAAAGCCCCGGGCUCAACCUGGGAACUGCAUUUGAAACUGUCGGACUAGAGUCUUGUAGAGGGGGGUAGAAUUCCAGGUGUAGCGGUGAAAUGCGUAGAGAUCUGGAGGAAUACCGGUGGCGAAGGCGGCCCCCUGGACAAAGACUGACGCUCAGGUGCGAAAGCGUGGGGAGCAAACAG
rnacentral:rRNA from 1 species